GUCCUUUUGAAUUUAAUUUAAGGUCUGACCUGCCCAGUGAUUAAUUUAACGGCCGCGGUAUAUUGACCGUGCAAAGGUAGCAUAAUCAUUAGUCUUUUAAUAGAGGGCUGGAAUGAAAGGUUUAACGAGGAACUGACUGUCUCAUUUUAUUUGUAUUAAAAUUUAAUUUUUUAGUUAAAAAGCUAAAAUUUAAUUGGAAGACGAGAAGACCCUAUAGAUCUUUAUAUAGCCUAUUAAAUUUGUAACAUAUUAAUACAUUUUAUGAAAGCUGUAUUUUGUUGGGGUGACAAAAAUAUAAAACUAACUUUUUUAUCAAUUAACCAUUAAUUUAUGAAAAUUAGAUCCGCUCUUAGUGAUUAUUAGACUAAGUUACCUUAGGGAUAACAGCGUAAUCCUCUUCCAGAGUUCAUAUUUACAAGGGGGCUUGCGACCUCGAUGUUGGAUUAAGAUAAUAAUUAGGUGUAGUCACUUAAUAUAUAGGUCUGUUCGACCUUUAAAUUCUU
rnacentral:rRNA from 1 species